UGGGGAAUAUUGCGCAAUGGGCGAAAGCCUGACGCAGCGACGCCGCGUGAGGGACGAAGGCCUUCGGGUUGUAAACCUCUUUCAGCAGGGACGAAGCGAAAGUGACGGUACCUGCAGAAGAAGCACCGGCCAACUACGUGCCAGCAGCCGCGGUAAUACGUAGGGUGCAAGCGUUGUCCGGAAUUAUUGGGCGUAAAGAGCUCGUAGGCGGUCUGUUGCGUCGGCUGUGAAAACCCGGGGCUCAACCCCGGGCCUGCAGCCGAUACGAGCAGACUAGAGUUCGGCAGGGGAGACUGGAAUUCCUGGUGUAGCGGUGAAAUGCGCAGAUAUCAGGAGGAACACCGGUGGCGAAGGCGGGUCUCUGGGCCGAUACUGACGCUGAGGAGCGAAAGCGUGGGGA
rnacentral:rRNA from 1 species